rnacentral:tRNA from 1 species
GUAGCUCAGGUGGUACAGUACUUACCUCUUGUGUAAGAAGUCCUGGGUUUGAUUCCCAGC